CCCUACGGGAGGCAGCAGUGGGGAAUAUUGCACAAUGGGGGAAACCCUGAUGCAGCGACGCCGCGUGAGUGAAGAAGUAUUUCGGUAUGUAAAGCUCUAUCAGCAGGGAAGAUAAUGACGGUACCUGACUAAGAAGCCCCGGCUAACUACGUGCCAGCAGCCGCGGUAAUACGUAGGGGGCAAGCGUUAUCCGGAUUUACUGGGUGUAAAGGGAGCGCAGGCGGCGCGGUAAGUCUGAUGUGAAAGCCCGGGGCUCAACCCCGGGACUGCAUUGGAAACUGUCGUGCUGGAGUGUCGGAGGGGCA
rnacentral:rRNA from 1 species